CAGAAGUAAAACUGUUAUUAUUCACAGGUGACAUAUUAUAAUAUAGGAAACACUAAAGAGGUCACUAAAAAAACUACUAAAUUUAGGCAUGGCAGAUGACCAGGCACCGAGCAGAGAGCGACAUGUUUCAUAUUCCGGAGGGCGGCGGAGCCAGCUCCAAGGGGAAAGAAAGUGGUAUCUUUGAAGAAUCAAUGCCUAUGCACACUCGACAGUGUCUGAACUCACCUGGUGGGAAGACCAGUGACAUUUUUUGUUCCCCAGUGAUGGCUACUUUACCUUUGGCACAUCCAACAAAUCAAGGGACCGUGCACUCUUAUAUGAAGGAGAAAACAAAAAAUUGGACUUUACAGUUGUCAUGAGCACCUUGCUCAGAGAAGAGCCAAGUGAAAAAAGAAGCCCAAGAGAAGCACACUGUUCCCAGGAGCCCCAGCCCACACCUACAGCUGAUGGCCACGAUUGGGCCCAAGUCCUCAAUCUCACAACAAAGUCCUGAAUCCACCUGGAGGCAAAUCCAGCAUCUCCUUCUAUUAUAUUAGAGAAGUUAUUGCUUCCCCUGUAGCCAGAUAAGAAAAUCAAGAUAGGAUUUAAAAUAGUUUCCUUUAGCCCAAAGGAAUGGGGGUGGGGAGAGGGUCUGUCAUAUAUCUGAAGCCACUGCUCAGGCUCCCCUGCCACCUUGAGAGCCACAGAGGACAUCACCUUCCAGACUGCCAAGAGACAUAUCUUGGUCAGAGGAGGGAGCGGGGCUGUGAUGCUUUGGUGAGAAGUCAUAUGUAAUUUUGGAUGUGGGAGGAACUUUCAGUUGGGCUGGGUGUGGAGCUGGUACAAGGCUACAGGGGCCCUGAUGAAGUGAGAUCUUCCAAGUAAUUGUUGCAUCAGUGACCUGCCAUCCAAUUGGGUAUCUAGGAAUCACUUCACAUAGUAGCAGAGAUUUUAAAGCCUCAGAAAGAAAGCCAAAAACUACCCAUGAGUUGAGCAUAAGUCGAAACACUAUUCUCCAUUCUUGGGACUACUGCUGCUAACCCCGAGACCUCUUUUGCAUCCAGGCACAGAGUAUUCUGCAGUCUUUUCAUGAAGCAUUCUGAUUGCUUUCCUUCGGCAGCUGUCAACAAAAAGCAAAAAAGUUUUCCUGGUCUUAUGCUUUAAGAAGAUAUUUGUACCUUGAUCCUCUGGGGUGAUCUAUCUGCCUUUCAAUCACAAGGGACUGGACUGGGUCUCUUCACAGACUGGUUUUGCUUGUGAAUUUUUUUUCUCUCAUCCCUAAAUUUCAACCUUAGCUCUUCACCACGAAUGUGGACAGUUCAUUUAUCUGCAAGACCCACUGACUUCUGUAAGACUAAAACUCUACCCAGAUACAUAAUUGGGUUAUUUAAAUCUUUCAUUUGUCUUUAUUCCUGUUGACAUUGGGAAGAAGAGAUAUUUGAGAACUUUGAGUUCUUUAAUAAUAUCUAAAGAGCUAUUCUUAAAUACCAGCUUUACAUAAGUGACUAUUGACUCUGGUCUGUUUCUGACACCUCUCUAGAAAAAAGUCAGUUUCAAAGAGAAAGAAAAGUUUGCUUAGACCACCCUUUAUAAAGCUUUGCAGAACCUUUGGACCAUAUUCAGUUUCUAGAAGAGACUUGGAAACCUUAGGCUAGGACAGUGAUUAGUUUGGCAAAAAAAAAGCCUAAGCUGGCCAAUUCUAUUAUAUUGGCCAGCAAAGGUAACAAUCUGGCAAAUUGUGUUGCUUUAAUCUUGUCAGGCAGAAGUUUCUCACAUUGAACUUCCUAAGAAUUAUAGUCUACAUCACCCAUGCUGGAUCAGUAGUUAACAGAGGAGAAAGCGGGUUCGUGUAGUGGUGGCUGUUGGUAUGAGUGCCUGCAGAGCUAAUGCCAGGUACCGGGAAUGUCUUCAUUGUUAAAAUUGAGAAAAGAAACACAUGUGUUUAGUCAUAGCCACAGUGGCUGAGAUACUAAGUGCCUAUAGGAGCUGCCUCCCAAACUCCACUUCUUACACCUGGCACAUUGAGGGGAUCUGCAUGUGGCUUUGUCAACCAAAGAGUUUCCUUCCUUUCAGUUACCCUGCUGACUUUGGAGCCAAUAAAUACUUAUUUCAUGUGACUUUAUCAAGUACUUCCUGUUUUCGUGUUUUAAAUGGUAAUUUUUAAGAAAAUUGUUUGGAAUUCAGAAUAUUUCCCCCUGCCCAUUAAAAAUGUCAUAAAUGAUAGUUAACUUUUAAGCCCAAACACACAAAUUUGUUUUAACUUAUAAUGAAAUGUACUAAUGGUAGAAAUGAACUGCCAUUUAUAAACUACAUUUUGCUUUUUAAUACAUAAGAAAAUAAGUUGUGAAUUCCAAAUUGGGUUGCUGGAAUUGUGCUGCUGGUCCUCGUGGCCUCACCUUCACCCUCACUGUCAGGCAAAUGAGAGGAAGGACUCUAGUUUUAUCAACUGGCAGGGAUCCAUGAACUCUUAGCAUCCUGUUAUCAACCUCUAAGCUGCUUUGAAAAAUCACCAGUCUAUUUUUAUUAAGCCUUAAAAUUUUUUAUGUGCAUUUGGUGCCAACAUUUUUCUAGAGCUGUAUCAAAAACAACAAACCUGUACUCACAUCACAAUGUAAUUUUGAUAGGAACAUUUUGUUAUUUUUACAAGGCAGAAUUGGGUGUAACAGUUGAAAUAAACUUAGUAAUCAUG